GUCAAUGAUCAGAUACUGCUUUGUUUGAACAUGUUUUGCUAUGAAUUUCACAAGUAUAUGUGGCAGUGAUAUGUGUUUUUAUAACCAUCAUGGUGUGUAAUUUAUAAUUUAAUUGAAAUGUUUUAUGGUAUUGUGGAUUUCUAUGAAUUGUUUAUGGUAUUGUGGAUGUCUAUGAGUGAUGAGUAAGGUAUCAUUUGGUCAAUUGAUCAUGUUUGUAAUUUAUAAAAACUGUUAUUGUCGAAAAAAAAAUUAUAAAAACCAUUAGCUAUGGCAGAUUGGCAGUGUUGUGCAAAAUUUGUAAUGGAAUGAGUAUU
rnacentral:lncRNA from 1 species